rnacentral:rRNA from 1 species
CUUAGUGAACAUGGCGAACUGCUCAGUAACACGUGGACAACUUACCCUCCGGACUGGCAUAACCCCGGGAAACUGGGGAUAAUUCCAGAUAGACCAGAGAUGCUGGAAUGCUCUUUGGUUAAAAGUUUUUAACGCCAUAGGAUAGGUCUGCGGUCUAUCAGGUUGUAGUGGGUGUAACGUACCUACUAGCCGACUACGGAUACGGGUUGUGAGAGCAAGAGCCCGGAGAUGGAUUCUGAGACACGAAUCCAGGCCCUACGGGGUGCAGCAGG